CCUACGGGAGGCUGCAGUGGGGAAUAUUGGGCAAUGGGCGCAAGCCUGACCCAGCAACGCCGCGUGAAGGAAGAAGGCUUUCGGGUUGUAAACUUCUUUUGACAGGGACGAGCAAAGUACGGUACCUGUCGAAUAAGCCACGGCUAACUACGUGCACGCAGCCGCGGUAAUACGUAGGUGGAAAGCGUUGUCCGGAUUUACUGGGGGUAAAGGGAGCGUAGGGGGUUUAGCAAGUCAGAGUGAAAGCCCGGGGCUCAACGCCGGGACUGCUUUUGAAACUGUUGAACUAGAUUGCAGGAGAGGUAAGUGGAAUUCCGAGUGUAGCGGUGAAAUGCGUAGAUAUUAGGAGGAACACCAGUGGCGAAGGCGGCUUACUGGACUGUAAAUGACGCUGAGGCUCGAAAGCGUGGGGAGCAAACAGGAUUAGAUACCCGAGUAGUC
rnacentral:rRNA from 1 species